CACAAAAAAGGACACAAAUGAGUGAGUAAGAAGAAGUCAGUUUUAAUUGAGCAACCAUCGACGUACAUUAUAAGAACAAUUGCCAUCUGUAAUCGCAAAUAAUAAUUUAUAAACCAAAAUGAAUCCAUUUUGUGACCGUGAAGAUUUUUGGCGCCUAUACCUGCCUUUGUAGCGAUGGGUUUGAAUAAAUUAGGUUUGCUGCGUUCCGACAAUUCGUUUUGUAAACUCUUACUCGUAAUAUAGCGUUUUAUCGCAGGGUGGAGUAGGAAAUACCAAUUUGCAUUAAUGAUAUUGUCAAUGCAAAUUUGUAAAACGAACAGACGAGUGUGACCCACAGACUGUUUGUAAUCUGUAUAUUUAUAUAAUA